rnacentral:misc_RNA from 1 species
GAUUUGACUAAACGACUCGCUCAGUUCAUCUGCACGCGUAUAGCGAACUGGAUCUCUCUCGACAAUUUGGAACGAAGGUAUGACGAACUGGAAAUAACAGCAAAUGAAGAUCUUGAGAGCUUGGAUUUAUUUUGACAUUGAACAUAUUUACGAACAAAGGUGUAUUUCCAAUUGUUCAAACGGUGCAGCCUUACGGCCGAUUCUCGGCUGGUACGAUAAAAGAAAAAGGAAGUCGAGACACAAAUUCGUGUCUUCUAAUUAUCGAACAGCACGAAGGUUCUAGGUGCA